GCAGGAUAGUCUAGUGGUUAGAGUGUAGAGGCGGCAGGGUAGCCUAGUGGUUAGAGUGUAGGGGCGGCAGGGUAGCCUAGUGGUUAGAGUGUAGAGGCGGCAGGGUAGCCUAGUGGUUAGAGUGUAGGGGCGGCAGGGUAGCCUAGUGGUUAGAGUGUAGAGGCGGCAGGUAGCCUAGUGGUUAGAGUGUAGGGGCGGCAGGGUAGCCUAGUGGUUAGAGCGGCAGGUAGCCUAGUGGUUAGAGUGUAGGGGCGGCAGGGUAGCCGAGUGGUUAGAGUGUAGAGGCGGCAGGUAGCCUAGUGGUUAGAGUGUAGAGGUGGCAGGUAGCCUAGUGGUUAGAGUGUAGGGGCGGCAGGGUAGCCGAGUGGUUAGAGUGUAGAGGCGGCAGGUAGCCUAGUGGUUAGAGUGUAGGGGUGGCAGGGUAGCCGAGUGGUUAGAGUGUAGGGGCCGCAGGUAGCCUAGUGGUUAGAGUAUAGGGGCGGCAGGUAGCCUAGUGGUUAGAGUGUAGGGGCGGUAGGGUAGCCUAGUGGUUAGAGUAUAGGGGUGGCAGGGUAGCCUAGUGGUUAGAGUGUAGAGGCGGCAGGGUAGCCGAGUGGUUAGAGUGUAGAGGCGGCAGGUAGCCUAGUGGUUAGAGUGUAGGGGCCGCAGGUAGCCUAGUGGUUAGAGUGUAGGGGCGGCAGGUAGCCGAGUGGUUAGAGUGUAGGGGCGGUAGGGUAGCCUAGUGGUUAGAGUGUAGGGGUGGCAGGGUAGCCUAGUGGUUAGAGUGUAGAGGCGGCAGGUAGCCUAGUGGUUAGAGUGUAGGG
ensembl:lncRNA